CUUAUCUCCCUCGAUAUGCAUUCUGAUCACUUAGCACUCUGGGGGCCCUAUAUAUCUGAGAGGUGAGGAUUCAACCGCAGGGUGUGCCUGCAUGUUGGGUUAGUGGUUGCUCUACAAUAUAUUGUGCAGCACCAUGAUGAGUAAAGUCAGGCACGGCUCAUCCGUUUGGUGAGAAUUCAGAAGUUGUGGCUGCACAACAACUGCUGCAGAACACCUCAUCCGUAUUGGCCCAUCCGUGGUGGCCCAAAGUGCACCCGAAUCAAAGGGUCAUCCGUGUUGGCCUCGCAGCCAACAUGGGAACACAUGCAUAGUAUAUGUGCUGGCUUUUCGAGAAGCCCAUCAUGGAUAGUAUCCAUGACAGGCUUCCCUUUGCACCAGCAUGGAUACUAUGUGUAAAGACAUCUGCCCUCAAUAAGCCUUGAUUUGAAUAACUAUGAUAUGGGCACUACCAUUUGACCGGUGUUGAUACCCACCUAAGGAAGUUAUUUCAUCAUGACCUGAACUUAAACAACAAAAUAAGUCAUCUUUCCACACACACAGAAGCUGUAUGUAUAUUCAUUUACAUUUUCAUCUCCUUUUAUAUCAAAACAUGCAGAAGAAGUUGAGAAACCAUCAAAGGUCCCCAGGAGCAAUUCGAUGCGCAUGAAGGACAAACAUAGGCAAGUACUUCAUUUGAUACUAUGUUAUGUAAAAUUAAUAAAUCUUGCAUUGAAGGAUUUCUUAUCCUAAUGAUUUUGGGCCACGGUUGCACAAAACAACAACCACCCUCUGAUCUCCAACAUGAUUGUCUCUUGCCACAUGCUCGAGCAGCAUGAUGUGUGGAAGAGCAAGUAUGGCAUGGCGAUGGUUGCAUAUAUGUACAGGGAUUACUUAUGUCCUUGUAACACCACAGCUAUCUACAUCUCGUGGUUUUGCGCUCAGUCACUAUAGUUUCAUGCUCCUAAGAUCAGUGGCGGAUGCAAGCAGUAGGGUUAGGAUGGCUCAUCUCUCCUCUUCCUCCUCCAUUUCCCUUGCUUCUUCUUCUUCAUCUCUAUUUUUCCCUCCCUUCCUCUCCCCUUAAUCUCUAUUGACACAUUACCGGGACGGAGGCUGCAACCCCCCUGCACCCCUUGGAUCCGCCCCUGCCUAAGAUGAUGAUGAUGAUAAUGAUGAUGAUGAUGAUGAUGAUGAUGAUGAUGAUGAUGUAGCGCCUACAUUUAUUUUUUGCUAGUAUGCCUUCAUUUGCUGUUUUUGAUAUGCUUUGUGUCACUCCUAAGGUUGGUGGAAUGGGAGGGUAAUUUUUCUCCAUAUCAACAAAUUGAGAGGCCUAUGGUCGUCCCAAGGAGUUGUAUUGAUGAUGAUCAUGAUGAUGAUCGAGUAUGUGUAAUUAAGUUGUUUCUGAUUGAGAUAUUGGUUGUUUGUUGUGAUUUAUAUUGUAAUAUUUAAGCUGUAUUGAUGUUUGCUUAGAUUUUUUAUUUUUAGUUUUUUAUCUUCAUUAAGUAUUUGUAUCGGCUUAGAAAAGGGCAGGCACGAAUAGGUAACUAUCCAUAUACCAACAUUAUCUACGGAGCAGCAAGAGUAAGUAGGGAUAAGUAGUUAUAUGUGCUAGCAUACUAUAUGUGCCCACAUGAGUAAAUAGCUAUAUAUUCCUACCAAAGGUAGUACAUGCACCAACACAUCUAUAUAUAAGCCCACUCACAAUAUAGCCCUCCUCCCCAAUCCUCACUCUCUUCCACCACUAACCCAAGCCCACCUUUUACCACCACAACCACCUCCUCCUCUCCCUCUCCUAGCCCUAGACCACUCAUUGAUGCUAGCAUCUCUCCCUCCUCAUCGCCUCUAGAUCUUCUUCCUCUAUCUCUAGAUCCAAUUACCACCACAUCAUCUUUCUUGUCCUUCACUACCAGAUCCACAAUAUCCUCCUCUUCUCAUCUCUUUGACCCGCUUCCUUCACUGUUGGAUCUACCACCUCGCCUCCUCAUGAUGAACCGCCUCUACAAGAGGGAAGCGAUAGUACAUCACUACAACACAACUUCACAUCUACAAAAACUAUUGUUAUCUUCUAGAGACAUUUUUUGUUAUCUCUACAUAGUCAUAUAGUCAUUUUCUAAAAUGUCACAAAGGUGCCACUAUAGGCAAUGUCUCUUGGAAUGAAGAGACACUUUUCUAAGUGCCCUUAUAUUCCCUAAGGAAACUUAUAAUGAUACUACGUCAUGUUUCUAUCCUCUAAGUGCAUUAGAAAUAUAUUGAAAAAAUAUGGUAUGUUUUGAGUGAUGGGUCUUCAAACUCAAUACCUCAUGCUAUUUUUCAU
rnacentral:lncRNA from 1 species